rnacentral:rRNA from 1 species
AACGAACGCUGGCGGCAUGCCUAACACAUGCAAGUCGAACGAGACCUUCGGGUCUAGUGGCGCACGGGUGCGUGACGCGUGGGAACCUGCCCUUAGGUUCGGAAUAACUCCCCGAAAGGGGUGCUAAUACCGGAUAAUGUCUUCGGACCAAAGAUUUAUCGCCUUUGGAUGGGCCCGCGUUGGAUUAGCUAGUUGGUAGGGUAAAAGCCUACCAAGGCGACGAUCCAUAGCUGGUCUGAGAGGAUGAUCAGCCACACUGGGACUGAGACACGGCCCAGACUCCUACGGGAGGCAGCAGUGGGGAAUAUUGGACAAUGGGCGAAAGCCAGAUCCAGCAAUGCCGCGUGAGUGAUGAAGGCCUUAGGGUUGUAAAGCUCUUUUACCCGGGAUGAUAAUGACAGUACCGGGAGAAUAAGCUCCGGCUAACUCCGUG